rnacentral:lncRNA from 1 species
CCAAUAUAAAGAGCUUCACAGGCUUUGUCUUGAAAAAAUCCUUUUGAAAAUCUCCACCAAGCUGUUGAGAGCUCCUUGGAACUUUCCGUCCCAAGGAAAUCAUUAACCUUCCCCAUUUCUGAGGCAGAGAUGCAAUCAGUUUAUUAAGUGCCUAAAUUAAAGGGAGACAAGGCAGGAGUUUGAGCUUUCCACUAUAAUUCACUUGAGGAGCUCUGUGUCAGGGAUAUUUGAACCAGACCUGGUUGGCUGGGCUCCGGAACCUCUCCUGGCUACCGGCUGUACGCCCACUUUCCCCUCCUUUGAAGGGCCAGAGGUCUUCUCUCCUCAGACGCCUAGUUAACCUUUUGAAGGCUCCAGCCCGGCGAAUCCUCAACUAGGCUGUCCUCCUCCGCCCAAACGCCCUCCUUUGGCAUCCUGGCCCAGUCCUCUGAAGCCCCGAUGGGCUGGAAGGUAGCCUGGUGAAGAUGCCUCCGCGAUAGCCAUCGUGGGGGCCGGACCCUGGUGCCGUCGGACCUCGCGGAGCAGUCAGGAACUUUCUAACCCAAUGCUCUGUGCACUCCUUAGUGCAUCUGUCCAAGGGACGCCUGGCAGCCCCGUUAAGGAGUUUCUAGCCACCCAGUGGGUGUUGACUGGGCAACACAGAACCAUGGGUUUGGCCUAUGCGGACUCUGUCCUUCCCAAAGUGCUUAGUAUGUCUCCCGGAACAUAGCCAUUCUCCGGAAUCCUCAGAAAAAAGAGAGAAGACAAACCUGAGGUUGAGCAGUUCCACUCUCCAGAUGACCAUGUUCUGCUCCUGGUUGGUGGGGCAGGGGCAGAGAUAGGGAGGAAGCCCCUUUCCCUCCAUACUUCACCCUGAAAACCCAAGGAAAAGCAAGAGCUCACAGACCUUCUAUUUCAGCCCUCUCACCUUACAGUUGAAGAAACUGGCCCAGGAAGUGACUUGCCCAAGGUCAUGCACUUAGGCUCCCAGAUCUAGAGCCCAAUGACCAAGUGGCCAGCUUUUCUAAUUUCCUCAUUUUACAGAUGAGGAAACUGAAUCUUCCCUAAAGGAAAAAGAAAGGGAUUCCCAGAUUUCCACAUUCCUCUUCUAGCCCACUGGGAAAAGGCUGAUGAUGCUCCAAGAAGAAUCCAGGCUGCUCCACUGUCAGUCAGUCGCCAGUCAUGUCUGAGGCAGCCUCAGGUCACCGGGCCUUUUUAGCCAGAGGCUCAGGCAAAUUUCUGCUUUCAUGGGCUAUAGCUCUCUUUCCAUGGCUGCCAAUCUCAUCCAGUUAAUUGAUCAGGAACGUGGGCACGUUCAAAACCCAAACCAAUAAACCAGCCUGCACUCCUAGGUUGGGGGUGGGG